rnacentral:misc_RNA from 1 species
GUACAAAGCAAAGUCAGGAGAAAUAUACGGACCGUUCCGCACGCAGCUGGGGUACCACUUCCUGAUCGUUACCGAUAAACGUGCACAUACUGAGCUCCACCUCGAGCAUACCAUGCUCCUGUUCCGGAAAAAUAUGACGCACGAUGAUUCCACGAAGAUGAAGGCGAAGAUCGAUUCCUUAUCCGCCGAGCUCAAAAAAGGACGCAACUUCGAAGAGGUCGCAAAAAAAUAUUCAGACCAUAAAGAGACCGGCAAGAAAGGCGGUGAUAUCGGGUGGCUCGCUCCGAGCUCCAACUUCCCGGAAGAGUUCAAGGCUGCGGCCCUGACGCUGAAAGAGAACGGAUCGGUGUCUGAUCCUGUGAAGACCAAGUUCGGAUG